rnacentral:snRNA from 1 species
UUACCACUCUGGCCUUUUGGCUUAGAUCAAGUGUAGUAUCUGUUCUUAAUAGUUUAACCACUAUUAUGAUCGCAGAUGGCCUUGCUACUGCAGUAUCGGCUUGUGUCGUCGGGGGAUCUUCU